GGCCUUUUAGUUUAAAGGUAAAACACAUGUUUCGUAAUCAUGAGCUACGGGUUCGAUUCCCGUUUAGGCCU
rnacentral:tRNA from 1 species